rnacentral:rRNA from 1 species
UACAGAGGUCUCAAGCGUUGUUCGGAUUCAUUGGGCGUAAAGGGUGCGUAGGCGGCGCGGUAAGUCGGGUGUGAAAUCUCGGGGCUUAACUCCGAAACUGCAUUCGAUACUGCCGUGCUUGAGGACUGGAGAGGAGACUGGAAUUCAGGUGUAGCGGUGAAAUGCGUAGAUAUCAGUGAACGAAGACCGGUGGCGAAGGCGGGUCUCUGGACAGUUCCUGACGCUGAGGCACGAAGGUCAGGGGAGCAAACGGG